UGACGAGCUCACGGCCCUGCCCUCAGCGCCGCCUCCACCACAGAGCCCAACCCUUGGAGCGGGGCCUGAGGGGCAAGGGGAAGGAAGGCACCUCACCAGGGCGCCCCCCCUACCCUGUGACGAGUUCGCAGCCCCGCCUCCACCGCAGAGCGGAACCCUUGGAGCCGGGUCUGAGGGGAAGGAAAAAAGGGGCGGCCCGCAGGAGCCGCGGAGAGCCUGGCUCCGGGUGGGAACCAGCUCAUCUGCCUGAGCCCCUUUGUUCUUCAACUAGCUGGCACCCCAGCCGAUGCUGGAGAAUCGGGCCCUCUCGCUGUGUCCACCUGGGUGCCCUGGCCACAUCUCUAACUCUACUGCCGCGGGGAACCCUGAUUCCAACAGCAGCAGUGAGGAGCUGAGGCAGAGACAAACUGAACAGUCUUUAAAAUGCUGUUAUGGAGACAAAAUGGCACCCUACAAGUUCACUCGGUGAAUUGGUCACUAGGUCUUCAUCAAACUGGACUUCGACUGACCUGCCUCCUAGGUGACUUUGUUAGACACACCCCAGUGUCCCAAGUGAAGUUGUUCAUCGGUUUUGAAGGGACUAAUAAUCAUGAUCAUUAAAAUUAAAGUCAACAGAAUUCCUGUACGAGGUUAAUGAUCGCAUGUGUUUCCAGUAAAUCUCUCCAGUGUUCUGGGGAAAUGCUUCUCACAUGCUGGCCUCUGCUCUGCUCGUCUUUGCUUCCUGAUAGCCUUGUCUUUCUGUCCCCUUGCAAUAGUCUCAGAUUGUGGAUGCUUCUUAAGAGCAUUCUCUCUGCCCUGCCCCAUUUCUGUCUGAAGUUAAACAAAGUUUCCCUACUUAUGCAGACCCAGGGAGGCAAUGGUGAUGGCCCAAAUAGUUGGAUUCCUGCUACCCAUGUGGGAGACCUGGAUCUAGUCCCCAGCUUCCUGCUUCAGCCCAGCCCACUACCAGAUGUUACGGGCAUUUGGGGAGUGAACCAGUAAAUGGGAGCGGUCUCUUCUUGUCUCUGCCUCUCAAAUAAGCACAAAUUUAAAAAAGUCAACAAGAAAACUUGGCUUAAGGACCAUGGUCCAGACCCAAAAUACAAUGGGAAAAAUAAGGGCAGCAUGUUUUAAAAUGCAUUGGACAUUGUGAACCCUUUGGUUACAUAAUCUGAUUCAGGAGAUUAAUUUUGGGGAGGUAAGAUGUAGAAACCAGAGUGUAUCAUCACAUUCCUUGUCAACUUAGUAUCUUUUUUGGGAGCUGAGGAUUUUGGAAGGAGAUUGCUCAGACACCUCUUGAGGGGGGUGAAGCCAGUUUCUCCCACUUGUGGCUCUCAUGUGCUUACCAGCAAUCUCAAACCCCCAAAUCCUGUCCUAACUUUCCUGAAAUCCGACAGUUGGAUGCUGAGGAAGCAGACAUGUGGAACAGAUCUGGAUCCGAUCUGGUAUACUGCCUACAGCCCAAUGCAAUGUGUUAGAGGCAAUCUUGAAAGACUACUGGGAAAAUGGAAAAAGGCACAGAAAUUGAUCUUGAAGGAGAACAACCUUUACUCUAAUUUGUUAUAGCGUUGCUUUCUAUCUCCCCAAAGAUAUUACUAUUGUAUUUGUCUUCAUAAGGCACAUCCUACCACUUUCAUGCCACCCCACCAGGGAAAGUAAUCGUAAAUGGCCUCUCUCUGAGAACAUUACCAAACUUCAAAAGACUUAACUGUAAAUUUAUUUUGUUGAUUUUUUAACAUUUUUGAUUUUUAACAUUUUGUCGAUUUUAACAUUUCUGUCGAUUUUAACACUUUUGUCGAUUGUAACAUAAAUACAAGGAAAUUAAAUAAAUCAAUAAAUCAAAAAUAUUGUAAAGACAAAUCGGCAUUCACAGAAAGCUAUUAUAUUAUUAGUAUGGUUAGUCUGGAAUACAGCAUUCACUGGAAAUGUAUGCAAGGGAGGCUUAGUGAAAGAACUAAAGGGUUCUGAAAUGUUCUUAAGACGGACAUACUUGAGGCACUGCUUGAGCAGGUAUGGGGGGAAUCAAGAUAGGCUCUAUAUGAGUAGGAGCAAUCAGGGUUUGAUACAUACAGCAACAACAGCAUUGCAGAAUAGUUGACUGUUCCCAGUAGCUGCUCCCCCUUGCCACUAUACACUCUUCAAGGCUUGAAACAUUUUUAAAAGUAAUCAUAAAUCUGGUUGUGCCAGGGUGGACCAGUCAUAAUAAUCAACAAUGUGCCUUUUAAAGAACAGCAACGUUCUUUUUUCCCCUUCUAUAGAUCUCUUAAAGUAAUCCUGUUCUACUCCUCUCUUCUGAAAGGCUCUGGGGACGUGAGAAGUGGCAGUGUGCAUAUCUCCUGCACGGUCACUGCGUUGCUGACAUAUGAUCUAGAUUACAGUUCCAUCCUUCUCGGCAGCCAAGGUAUUAAGCUAAAGACCGUAGUGCAGACUGUACACUCUGGCAAUUAGGGCUGGAGUCUGCGCGUAGGAUAUUGGUAUCGGAUGCCAGGUAUGGCUGUAAAGAUUGCAUGAAGAUGCAACCAAAAGAAUGAGUGGAGUUUGCCAAACAAGGUUGUGCCUGUCCUGUGGAGGCCCCUUUUUCUAACUUGCUCCAAGGCACUGUAUAAGCUCAUUGUGGCGCUAUUUGCUUACAUUUUCCAGUCUGGCUGGCAUCAUCAUUCUCUAUUUCAGUGAAGUUUCUAUAUUUCACAUCCCAUAUAGUCUCCAAAAGGAGAUUUUUGGUUCACUGAAUUAUCACAUUAGACAAAACAACCACAAUUCUAUGAAGGAAUAAACUUAGCAGAAAAUAAAUACAAAAAAAAAAAGAUUUUUGACAUGUGGUCCACUAGAAUUUAGCU